GAUGUGCCCAGAUGGGAUUAGCUUGUUGGUGAGGUAACGGCUCACCAAGGCGACGAUCCCUAGCUGGUCUGAGAGGAUGACCAGCCACACUGGAACUGAGACACGGCCCAGACUCCUACGGGAGGCAGCAGUGGGGAAUAUUGCACAAUGGGCGCAAGCCUGAUGCAGCCAUGCCGCGUGUAUGAAGAAGGCCUUCGGGUUGUAAAGUACUUU
rnacentral:rRNA from 1 species